AACGAACGCUGGCGGCGCGCCUAAUACAUGCAAGUCGAGCGAGAAGACGUAGCAAUACGUUUGUAAAGCGGCGAACGGGUGAGGAAUACAUGGGUAACCUACCCUCGAGUGGGGAAUAACUAGCCGAAAGGUUAGCUAAUACCGCGUACGCUCCUCGGACUUCGGUUCAGGGAGGAAAGCGAUACCGUGGGUAUCGCGCUCUUGGAUGGGCUCAUGUCCUAUCAGCUUGUUGGUGAGGUAACGGCUCACCAAGGCUUCGACGGGUAGCUGGUCUGAGAGGACGAUCAGCCACACUGGCACUGCGACACGGGCCAGACUCCUACGGGAGGCAGCAGUAAGGAAUAUUGCGCAAUGGGCGAAAGCCUGACGCAGCGACGCCGCGUGGGGGAUGAAGGUCUUCGGAUUGUAAACCCCUUUCGGGAGGGAAGAUGGAACGAGCAAUCGUUCGGACGGUACCUCCAGAAGCAGCCACGGCUAACUUCGUGCCAGCCGCCGCA
rnacentral:rRNA from 1 species